ensembl:lncRNA
CACUACCACUUCAUCUUUAUUCUCCAAGACCUUUUUUUGACAUUUUUGUUGCCAUGUUCAUGGCCUUAUUUUGAUUCCCCUCUUGUAUGUCUGCUCUGUAUUUAUUUCUACCGCUGUUUUUUUAUCUUCUUUUGUCACUUAACGCUCGACGCAAUUUCAUACCUGAGAGGUGACAUUCUUUGGCUCGUUACAUCAACUCACGGCUUCGUUUGCACUGCGGCCUGUCGGGGCUCGUGGCUGGAGGGAUCCGACUGAAGUGACAAGAAGAAAGACAGACAGACCCCCUAAGACCAAAAAAGAGAAAGACAAGAGACGAGUGGGCUGCUGAGAGAAAGGUGUGGGAGAUCUGGGUCAAAAGGACAGUUUGGGGCACGCGCGUACAGACGCCACGCGCACACCUUGAGAUCUCCACUGCACUUUGAUCAGAACCACCCAAACAACAGUUCAUGUCAAAGAGAGCGUAUACUGACUGCAUGAAGCAGUCUGUUCCUGUGCCAAGGCCAGCUCCUGCUGUUGGUCGCUGUGUGAUGGGGCGUGAAUGAAGAGGAUUGGGGGCACAUUUCACACCUAGGGGGCAGCUUGGUGGGGGGCUGGCACCGUCUUGACGAACGGAGUGCACCUGGCUGACAGCUGAGGUCCCCCCCAAGCCGCCCUAAA